ensembl:snRNA U6 U6 spliceosomal RNA
GUACUCACUUCAGCAGCACAUAUUACUAAAAUUGGAAUGAUACAGAAAAGAUUAGCAUGGCCCCUAUGCAAGGAUGACAUGCAAAUCAUCUAUCUGAUAAGGGGUUAU